rnacentral:rRNA from 1 species
CCUACGGGUGGCAGCAGUGGGGAAUAUUGGACAAUGGGGGCAACCCUGAUCCAGCGACGCCGCGUGUGUGAAGAAGGCCUGCGGGUUGUAAAGCACUUUUAGUGGGGAGGAAAACCCCUGACCUAAUACGUCAGGAAUUGACUUAACCCAAAGAAAAAGCACCGGCUAACUCUGUGCCAGCAGCCGCGGUAAUACAGAGGGUGCAAGCGUUAAUCGGAAUUACUGGGCGUAAAGCGUGCGUAGACGGUUAUUUAAGUCGGAUGUGAAAUCCCCGGGCUCAACCUGGGAAUUGCAUUCGAUACUGAACAGCUAGGGUGCGGAAGAGGGAAGCGGAAUUUCCGGUGUAGCGGUGAAAUGCGUAGAUAUCGGAAGGAACAUCAGUGGCGAAAGCGGCUUCCUGGUCCAGCACCGACGUUCAGGCACGAAAGCGUGGGGAGCAAACAGGAUUAGAUACCCUUGUAGUC